UAGGGAAUAUUGCACAAUGGGCGAAAGCCUGAUGCAGCAACGCCGCGUGCGCGAAGAAGGCCUUCGGGUUGUAAAGCGCUUUUCGGGGAGAAGAGGAAGGACAGUAUCCCCGGAAUAAGGCUCGGCUAACUACGUGCCAGCAGCCGCGGUAACACGUAGGAGCCAAGCGUUAUCCGAAUUCACUGGGCGUAAAGCGCGUGUAGGCGGUCUUACAAGUUGGGUGUGAAAGCUCCUGGCUCAACUAGGAGAGGACGUUCAAUACUGUGAGACUAGAGGACGGCAGAGGAAGGUGGAAUUCCCGGGUGUAGUGGUGAAAUGCGUAGAUAUCGGGAGGAACACCAGAGGCGAAGGCGGCCUUCUGGGCCGAUCCUGACGCUCAGACGCGAAAGCUAGGGGAGC
rnacentral:rRNA from 1 species